rnacentral:lncRNA from 1 species
AAAUUCAUAUUGAAGACAAAGUAAUGAAGGAAGAGAGCCUCUCCUAAGGGAGGGAAGUCUGCAUCUGGACCCAGCUUUGUAGCUACAUUGAAGCAGCACUAGGUGGAACAGUACAUGAGUUUAAAAGCACUGCAGAGAACCAGAAGGAUCUCAGUUUAAAUAUGUGUCACUCAGCUUUUAGGACAAUAGCAAACAACCCUCAAAUCUUAGGAGCUUAUGCACUAAUUUCUUGUGGGUUGGCUACAGUUCUGCCAGACAGGGGAAGGUCUGCUUUCCAGUCUUCUCCUUUCAGGAUCAAGCUGAAAAAGCUUCCGUUGUUCAAGGUGUUUGACUCCCAUGACAGAUGUCAAAGCUCAAUGAGAUAAUUCAAUACAAGAAAGAAGAUUUGCUUGGGAAAGUCUGAGUGGUCUUGGAUUUGCUUGCCAACCUCCAUCAGCUAGAAACAAAGAUCCAUUAACACUAAUCGUGCCUGCUUGUCCAAACGGUGUCCUGGUCACUUAUGUCAUCAUGCA